rnacentral:lncRNA from 1 species
AGAGUAUUCUGGAUAUUUUCAGCAAAUGGAGCCUAGUUGCCCACUUUCCAAGAGUCAUUGAAGAACAGUGUUACUACAAAAUUAGGUACCUGACAAUGUCCUGGGAUGCAGUCGAUGAUCUUGGAAGAUGAUACAUUAAAAGAAGCUAAAAAGAAAAGGAAGAAGGAGAUGAAGGUGUAAGGAGACUUGCCAGAGAAAGCUGCAGCUUUACCAUCACUGAAUUAGAAUGACUUUCAGAGGGACCCCAGACCAAUUUAUUUAAAAGGGCAUCCCGUAUUUCUUUGGAUGGACAAUGAUGGAUUCAAAUUCUGGCACUACCACAAACUACCUAUGUGACCUUAGGUUGACAGCUGUGAUUGCUGAGCCAUUGUCAGUAAUAUUUGGAAGAUCAUUCUGAAAGAUCAUGGAAAACAAGGGAUAUGUCACAAAAUUGAAGAAGGGAAAGCAUUCUAUUUUUUAAAGAAUGAGAACAAAGUCUGCAAGCUAAAGGUCAGUGAUCUUGACUUUUAUUCCUAUGAUAAUUUUCAAUGAAUCAUUAAAGAGAUGGUUGGCUAAUGAGAAAAGGAAACAGUGAUUUUUAAAGAACCAUCAUGGUUUAAUCAAGUAUAAUUCAUGCCAAACUUAUCUCAUUUCCUUUUUUUGACUAUAUUACUAAACUAGUAGAUAAUAAUUCUGUGGUUAUAGUUUUCUUAGAUUUUAGCACAUCUUUUGAUAAGAUAUCUAAUAUUCUUUUGAAAAAAAUGGGAGGAAACUAGGUAGCAAAAUGGAUAGAGUGCCAGGCCUGGAACCAAAAGAUCCUGGGUUCAAAUCGAGCCUCAUAUACAUCCUAGUUGUAUGACCUUGGGCUAGUCAUUUAAUACCCAUUGCCUCGUGCUUACUGCUCUCCUGCCUUAAAACCAACAUGCAGUAUUGAUUUUAAGAUAGAAGGUAAGGGUUUAAAAAAAUAUGGCAAGGCAUAGACGGAAUUUUUAAAAAACAUAAUCAUAUAGAUUCAAAACUGGCUGGAUGCCCAGACUCUGAAGUUGUUAAUGACUUAAUGCCAG